rnacentral:misc_RNA from 1 species
GAUGAAGAACGUAGCGAAAUGCGAUAAGUAAUGUGAAUUGCAGAAUUCAGUGAAUCAUCGAAUCUUUGAACGCAUCUUGCGCUCCUUGGUAUUCUGAGGAGCAUGCCUGUUUGAGUGUCAUUAAAUUCUCAACUACACUGACUUUGAAUUGGUGUGGCUUGGAUUUGGGGGGAAAAUUGUUGUGGGCUUUUUGUAUAGUCUGCUCCCCUGAAAUUGAUUAGCGGUACCUUUGUGGAACUGUCUACAGGUGUGAUAAUUAUCUACAUCUUAGACAUCUGCUGGAAUGCUGCUUUCUAGACCUUACUUGUAUUGACAAUCUUGACCUCAAAUCAGGUAGGACUACCCGCUGAACUUAAGCAUAUCAAUAAGCGGAGGA